rnacentral:rRNA from 1 species
CAAUAAGCGGAGGAAAAGAAACCAACAGGGAUUGCCCCAGUAACGGCGAGUGAAGCGGCAACAGCUCAAAUUUGAAAUCUGGCCCCCGGGUCCGAGUUGUAAUUUGCAGAGGAUGCUUUGGGCGAGGUUCCUUCCGAGUUCCCUGGAACGGGACGCCACAGAGGGUGAGAGCCCCGUCUGGUCGGACACCGAGCCCGUGUAAAGCUCCUUCGACGAGUCGAGUAGUUUGGGAAUGCUGCUCAAAAUGGGAGGUAUAUGUCUUCUAAAGCUAAAUAUUGGCCAGAGACCGAUAGCGCACAAGUAGAGUGAUCGAAAGAUGAAAAGCACUUUGAAAAGAGGGUUAAAAAGUACGUGAAAUUGUUGAAAGGGAAGCGCCUAUGACCAGACUUGCGCCCGGUGAAUCAUCCAGCGUUCUCGCUGGUGCACUUUGCCGGGCACAGGCCAGCAUCAGUUUGGCGCGGGGGAUAAAGGCUUCGGGAAUGUGGCUCCCUCGGGAGUGUUAUAGCCCGCUGCGCAAUACCCUGCACCGGACUGAGGUACGCGCAUCGCAAGGAUGCUGGCGUAAUGGUCAUCAGCGACCCGUCUUGAAACACGGACCAAGGAGUCGUCUUCGUAUGCGAGUGUUCGGGUGUUAAACCCUUACGCGGAAUGAAAGUGAACGUAGGUGAGAGCUUCGGCGCAUCAUCGACCGAUCCUGAUGUUCUCGGAUGGAUUUGAGUAAGAGCAUACGGGGCCGGACCCGAAAGAAGGUGAACUAUGCCUGUAUAGGGUGAAGCCAGAGGAAACUCUGGUGGAGGCUCGCAGCGGUUCUGACGUGCGAAUCGAUCGUCAAAUAUGGGCAUGGGGGCGAAAGACUAAUCGAACCUUCUAGUAGCUGGUUCCG